AUUGUAAGGCUGGUAACAUUACAUGAACACUCAAGCUUGUGAACCAUAACAUUUUAACUCAAACAACUCAAACAAGAUGUUUGUUGAUACGUUUAUUAUUUUUAUUUUCUCACUGAUCCAAGCUGUGCUGGGAGUGACAGUGGAGCAAGAUCAGCUCUCCUGGGUGAAGACGGAGGGUAAAAGUGUGUAUAUCGACUGCAGAGUGACUGACCGCAGUACUGACUACAUCCACUGGUACCAGCAGAAAGACGGAGAGGCGAUGACUAGAAUACUCUACAUCAAGCACGACGGCACUGGACUCACCAAUCCCCAGGCAAAGGACUUCACUGUGAGCGUAAACAGAAUUGCUAACUCUUACAAUCUGAAGAUAGACACACUGCAGAAGAGCCAUUCAGCAGUGUAUUACUGCGCCAGCUGGCAGAGUGGCAGCCACAGUGACGCUAAUCACUCACAUCCUGUACAAAAACUGCUACAGCAUGCAACACUCAGUACAGAGCAGAUGAAGAAGCAGUAGAGGAAGUACACUAAUUCAUUAAUUAAGUGUAAAUACUGAAAUUCUGGAAAAUAUAGUGGUAUUUUUUGGAGAAGAUCACCUAACAGUCAGCUACUCGUGCAGUGUGAACUUGGCCUUAUCUGAUCUGUCCUGGUCAAUUUACCCAGAAACACUUGGUGCAAGAGUGGAAUACACCCUCUACAGAUCAUUGCAGGAUUCCUGACUCCCAUCCGUUUACUUUCUCACAUACUUAUUUGCACCCUUAUUUUAACCAAACCACCAACCGGCAUGUUCUUAGGAAACCCACAUAGACAUGGAGAGAGCACACAACCCUCAGUUUCUUUUUGGUUUGUGGUAUUCACACACACUCAGACACACCAUGCUUUGCCACCAUGCUGCAACUAGUU